GGUGAUUGACUCAGCCGAGUAGCAGCAGCCGCCAGCUCACCCUCCCAAAAUAGCCAAAGUCUUCCACUGGGGCAGUGGGAUCUGAUAAAAAUCAGCUGUCACCGAGGCCACAGGACUAAAAAGAGUUCAGUCACAGUGAACCGUGGAGCUGAGAGGAGCACUGACAGAGGAGACACAUCACAGGGGCCUUAAGAGUCAGUUAUCCAGCACAGUGGAGAUACACAGGGAAGUGACAGAGAACGACGCUGGAUGGUACUUUAAUGACAAAUAUAGUCCAUCUCUGACUAAGGGGGGCACGCCAACAAGACAAAGCAGAGACAGGAUAUCUAUUUCCUCCUCAGUGAGAGACAGAUCAGCUCUCUAUCUGACAAGAGCAGCAGCUAUCGACUCCACAGGAGGCUCAACACAGCCAGAAUUUGCCAGUACUCCAGGAUCAAGAGUGAAAAACAGUAAGGUACUGUAUAGUUCACUUUGCAUCCUUUACUACAGUGCGUGGGUGCUGUUAAUAUGUGUGCUGUGUAACUGUGUUACUCUUAUUUAGCUUGUAUGACUAAAGACCCAGUUAACCUUUGACCCACAAUUAAGAACUCAAGAAGCACAUAAUAAAUUAGUAACAUAUAAUGACAUUAACAGUUAGAUAAAAGACCUUCAGAACACAUCUUUAUGUUCAGUACCAUAUUCUUUUCCUAUGGCCUCAGCAUUACAAUCAACAGACAAUGAUUAGUAAUGGGUUUCAGGUUUUAUGUCAAUGUCAGGCUAAGGUGCAAUGCCAACAACAGGAGAGGAUCAGGGUUUUUGACUCACCGCCCAGAGCAGACCAACAUUAGUAUUACUUACUGUAUAGUACUGUCUGUCAUAUACUGACAGAUGAACAAUGUAG
rnacentral:lncRNA from 1 species